GAUGAACGCUGGCGGCGUGCCUAAUACAUGCAAGUCGAGCGAACGGACGAGAAGCUUGCUUCUCUGAUGUUAGCGGCGGACGGGUGAGUAACACGUGGAUAACCUACCUAUAAGACUGGGAUAACUUCGGGAAACCGGAGCUAAUACCGGAUAAUAUUUUGAACCGCAUGGUUCAAAAGUGAAAGACGGUCUUGCUGUCACUUAUAGAUGGAUCCGCGCUGCAUUAGCUAUUUGGUAAGGUAACGGCUUACCAAGGCAACGAUGCAUAGCCGACCUGAGAGGGGGAUCGGCCACACUGGAACUGAGACACGGUCCAGCCUCCUACGGGAGGCAGCAGUAGGGAAUCUUCCGCAAUGGGCGAAAGCCUGACGGAGCAACGCCGCGUGAGUGAUGAAGGUCUUCGGAUCGUAAAACUCUGUUAUUAGGGAAGAACAUAUGUGUAAGUAACUGUGCACAUCUUGACGGUACCUAAUCAGAAAGCCACGGCUAACUACGUG
rnacentral:rRNA from 1 species